GUAAAUGCGAUGCGCAAGAGAAGUAAUUAAUGUCAUUUUUUCAGAGAGCUGCGGGCUGGUGAAACGCAGUAAAGUGCCUUAAUGAAAUACACUUGCAAGCAGCGGGCUGAAUUAGUGUACCGGCACAGUGUUACUGUGUCAGUAAACUGGCAGUAGGCUUUGCCGGAUUGUCACCGUUAUCAUAGACUAGGAUAUACACUUGUAUCCGAAAAAGCGGCUUGCUAUGAGCAAGCAGGGUGGUACCACGAGCUUAGAGCCCGUCCCUGUA
rnacentral:ncRNA from 1 species